UCUGGACCUAUGGAAAGAUGUGUGGGCCAGAUGAUCUGGCUUUGCGGGCUAGAUGUUGGGCACUGCUGUAUUACACCAGUGAAAUGUCCAUUUGACAAGUUAUGUCCCUUUUUCACAUAAUGUAUUGUGGCAUACUCUUAUAGAGACCUGAUUAUGCUCUUGCUGCAGAAGUCCUUGGCAAAGUUUUCACUGCUCUAAAGGAGACCAGGACAAGACCCUACAGUAGAAGUGUUUUGAGUAUGCUCUAUUGACCGAGUUUUGAUCAGAAGCAUUUUGGGGCAAGUUUUGCUCAGUAAGAACUCACAGCAGCUUUCAUAGUCCUUUUUGGCUCUGUAAUAUCUAUGGCUAUCCCAUGGAAACUGGAAGUAGAAACUGGUUUUCUUCCCCAAAUUGUUUCUUCCGUGUCACGUGUGUGCACCUAUAUAUUUGUUGCUUAUUACUGUGUGGUUGCUUGUGUGGCCUCUGUAUGAUCUCUUUUUUCUUAAAGCUAAGAGUUCAAGCACCCGUUUUGUUCAAAACAAUAUAACAGUAGCACAAAUUUCACAAAUAUAAAGGGAAAAGUAGGGUGUUUUUCCAAUCUUCUGUCUGUUUAAACUGUAAAUUGUGAUCUAAGGCAAUGCCUUAUUAAGCCUAUUGAAUUGAAUCUUGGUUGACUUUAGUCAAUCUUAUUUUAUGUAACCUAUUAAAACUAUGCUUUAAGGAAACCCAUUUUCCAUUUCAAAUCAUAUUUGUUUUGCAUGCACAUAGAGUAAUGAUUUUAUCUUUCAUUUUAAUUUCAUGCCAGAAUUUAAAUAAGAUAGCCUCUGGUGCCAUCAGGAUCAUUUCUAAUCUCACUUUUCAUCUCCUGCUUUCUUUGUUCAAUUGCAAGUAGAGACAGAAUUUGAACUAUUGUGCUUAUUUUACUGUGGCCAAAUUUAACCUGAAAGUAAAUAGCUGUUGUGUUAACCCCCUUUGCUUUAGAUGAAUGUUUACCCAUCUACCUCAACAGGAAAAGAAAGGUCACAGAAUGAUGACAGUAAAUAAAUUAUAUUGGAAAAUUGUAAGAGGUGUGAUAAAUUGAUGUGAAGGGAGAAGCUAGUUACAUCAUGAAUGUGAUGUUGGAAACUGAGUAAUGCAUCUCCAAGGAAGAAAUAAAUAGUAGGCCUAAAUUAAGUACUAAAAAGGCUAA